UGCCAAGCAUUAGUCUCAGAUUUUCUUUCUGUUUAUUUUUCUGUCAUUUUCUUGGAAACCAAACAUAGGGUUGCCGUAGCCAAUUAGCAGAGCAAAAGCAUUGAUUAUCAUCAAAUGACGCAAUUACUUGCAUCGAAGGUUGGCCUUGUACAAAUCAGCGAACUUCCUCUAUUCUCUCAACUCGUUUGGUUGCCGAGAAAGUAUAGGAAACCGUAAAAAAAAAAAAAAUUCAUCUGGUCAAUUUGGCUGUUUAGCUGCUAUUCAUGUUGUGAUGCAUAAAUUUGGGCUUUGCUUCCCCUAUUUUCACUGAACAUCAGCAAGAUUUAUCCAUUCAUAGAAUAUUUUGAGAGUCAAAUGAAUUUUUCAAGGAACAUUUUCGAUUAAAGACGCUCACUCGGAGCCAGAGGUGAUGGUGGAAGCGAUGGUGACGUUGGAAGAUCUGGGACGGAGAGAAAGAGAAGGAAACUUCCCGGGUUGAAAGGAAGGUUCAGGCACUGAGAUGUAAAUUAUGAACAGAAAACUUUCAGAGGAAAAUUUUGGCUCACUCACUGGGGCUGCAUUUGCAGUUAUCAAGGAGCCAUAAUUUCCUUCUCCACUACCUCUCACCACCACCGGUGCUGAGCUCUCUAAGUUGCUUCCUUGAUUGGAAUACGUACAGUGUCCUAUCAUUUCCUUUUUGCUAA